UCUAUAUCCAGCAAAAAUAUCUUUCAAAAAUACAUUUUUCAGGCAAAAACUUGGUGAACUCAUUACAAGUAGACCUGUUCUAUGGAAAAAAAUGUUAAAGUUCUUCAGACAGAAUAUAAUACCAGAUUAAAGAAUCUUGGACCUACUUGAAGAAAUGAAGAGCACUGGAAAUGGCAUUAAUGAAGGGACAUAGAUGAAUCUGGAAACCAUCUUUCUCAGCAAACUGACACAAGAACAGAAGACCAAACACCACAUGUUCUUGCUCAUAGGGAAAUCUCAAGCAGUUUCAUCCAGCAAAUAUACAAGCCUUUUGUGCCUUGAACCCCAAUGCGUAAAGACAUUCACAAACAUCCUGGAAUUGGUGCUGGCUUUCAGCCGGCCUUGUCCUUUCACCAGUUUUAAGAGUUAGUAGACGAAAAGGUCAUGAAUCUGGAAAAAUGCCCUUUCAUAGACAAGAAAUCCAAAACAAAAACAUGUGUUGGAGCCAGACCCAGGAAACUGGAAGCAACUUUAAUCGUCAUGUCAAUUAAAUGGUAAGGUGUCAUUGUCUAUAAGAAUGAUAUGUGGGCUGGGCGCAGUGGCUCAAGCCUGUAAUCCCAACACUUUGAGAGGCCGAGGCGGGUGGAUCACCAGGUCAAGAGAUCGAGACCAUCCUGGCCAACAUGGUGAAACCCUGUCUUUAUUAAAAAUACAAAAAUUAGCUGGGUGUGGUGGCGUGCACCUGUAGUCCCAGCUACUGGGGAGGCUGAGGCAGGAGAAUUGCUUGAACCCAGGAG